UACGUAGGGGGCAAGCGUUAUCCGGAUUUACUGGGUGUAAAGGGAGCGUAGACGGCAAGGCAAGUCUGAUGUGAAAACCCAGGGCUUAACCCUGGGACUGCAUUGGAAACUGUCUGGAUCGAGUGCCGGAGAGGUAAGCGGAAUUCCUAGUGUAGCGGUGAAAUGCGUAGAUAUUAGGAAGAACACCAGUGGCGAAGGCGGCUUACUGGACGGUAACUGACGUUGAGGCUCGAAAGCGUGGGGAGCAAACAGG
rnacentral:rRNA from 1 species